rnacentral:rRNA from 1 species
AUGGCAAGUGACUGCAGCCCUGAAAGAUGGUACGAGGGGAUUCUUUGGCAUGGUCUUAUUAUUGCGAUAUCGCUAGAGAUACUGUAUGGAGCUGAUAUUCCUCUCAAACUUCUUUUCUUCAUCAUAUGUAGUUCCAAGAAUCUUGGUUCUAACUCCAUCCUCCUCCAGUCUGGAUAUGGUUGUAUGGAUAACCCUGAAGAUAUCGAGCUGAACCGAACUCAGCUACACGAUCUGAUCAGCUUGUACAAGGGCGUGUACCUUCCUUCCCAUGUUUUUGGUCCCACAAGUGGAGAUAAUAGAUCCAAUGGUGUCUCAUGGAGAACUAUAAGUUAUGAAUGGAAAAAGCUACAGAACCUUCACAAGCUUCGGGUAACUGAAUCCUUAGAUGUGAUCAUAGUGGACCCCAAGCUGCACAUUCUCUUCCCUAGGUCUAGAGGUUGGAGUUUUGAUUCCAUAAGGAUAUUUUCUACAUCUGGUCUCCCAAUGGCAUAUUGCAUCUGGGGUCCUAAGCCGGUGGUGGACUGUGAGAAGGACUGGUGGGACAUGCUCGAGUUGGAUGGCUCCGAGGCCAACCAUGAGCUGCCACUCUUUGAGACAUGCCAUUCGGGUUACUACAAGAAGACCCUCCCGAGGGUCUCUAUUCUAAGAGCAUCUCCAGCCGUUGGCACCCCCAAGAAUACCACCGAACCAAAAAAGUUGGUGUUUUGGGGGUCAUCCGGCGAAAUUUGGCGAGAUAAAGAGGACAUCUUCCCAGUCACACCCCACCCCAAGCAAAAGUUUCUGAGGGGAAUAAUUAAGUGGGCCAAGAAAAAGGAUAUGUGGUGA